rnacentral:rRNA from 1 species
GACGAACGCUGGCGGCGUGCUUAACACAUGCAAGUCGAGCGGAGCGGCGAACGGGUGAGUAACGCGUGAGUAACUGCCCCCCUCUCUGGGAUAACAGUUGGACACGGCUGCUAAUACCGGAUAGUGGGGGAUGACUCGCGUCCUCUCGGCUUGUUGGUGGGGUAGUGGCCUACCAAGGCGACGACGGGUAGCCGGCCUGCGAGGGCGAGCGGCCACAUUGGGCUGAGAGACGGCCCAAACUCCGACGGGGGGCAGCAGGGGGGAAGAUUGCACAAUGGGGGAAACCCUGAGGCAGCAACGCCGCGGGCGGGAGGACGGCAUUCGGGUUGUAAACCGCUUUCAGCCAGGACGCGGUAGUGGCAGAAGAAGCACCGGCUAACUACGUGCCAGCAGCCGCGGUAAUAC